AAAACUGAAAAAUAGCUAGUAUCUUCUUUAAUAAGUAAAGAUGCGACAUAAUUGUUAGUAUAGAUAUAGUUCAUUGUAUGUUUUAGUUUGCUAGAAUGGAACAAAACUAGAAAAUACUGGAUGGGUGCAGUACCAAGAUUCUCAAGCAGUCGAAAAAUUCUAGGACCAAAAUGAAGCAAAUAGAAGAUAAGUUGAGCAAGCUUGAAUGUUUUGUUUAUAAUUUCAGUGGAUACAGCUAUGGAUAUUGCAUAGGCAGAUACAAAAAGGAAAAGCACAUUCAAGUUUGAUGCGACUGUACAAUUCGUUAUAAAUAUUUGUGUAAGGUGAACAUUUGUUUUUUCUUUCGUGUUUAAUUAGAUAACAAAAUAAUUUAAGGUUGUAAAAAUUUGAGAAAUGCCCUAUGACAGCUAUAGGAUGAAAUCAUGGGUCAAGAUUAAGCAAAAUUUUGUUAUUUUAUCGUGGGUAUUAGAUGUUUCUAUUAGAAUAAGCUAGUCGUAUUUGUUAAAUAUUAGUAAGUACAUACAUUUUUGUUUCUUUCAAAAAUGAACAUAUUCUAUUAUUUUAUUAUGAGAUAGUUACCUUUAAUAUGUGUAAUUUAGCACUAAUAGUGUAGUAUUUUAGUGUAGUGGUUUAACAUAAUAUUAUAUAUGUACUUAACAUAGAAGUUACUUAAAUUCGUUUACUGUUAAUGUGUUUUUCAAAUACUUUUAUUUUAAUAUGUACAACUUAACCUUAUCAUUUACCGUCCAGUAUUUAAGAUUGUCAAAUAUCAUGUAGGUGCGACAUUUAGGUAAAACAGCAAAAAGGGAGUUCAACAUAAUUAUUUUGUAUUUGUUGUGUCUUCUACAAUAAAUUUUAUUUUGAAA